rnacentral:rRNA from 1 species
UACAGAGGUCCCGAGCGUUGUUCGGAUUCAUUGGGCGUAAAGGGUGCGUAGGCGGCGGGGAAAGUCUGAUGUGAAAUCCUGGGGCUCAACCCUGGAACUGCAUUGGAUACUUCCUUGCUAGAGUACUGGAGAGGAAACUGGAAUUUACGGUGUAGCAGUGAAAUGCGUAGAGAUCGUAAGGAAGACCAGUGGCGAAGGCGAGUUUCUGGACAGUUACCGACGCUGAGGCACGAAGGCCAGGGGAGCAAACGGG